AGUAGCGAGAUGUGGGUGAGAAUCCCACAGGCCGAAAACCUAAGGUUUCCUCAGGAAGGUUCGUCCGCUGAGGGUUAGUCGGGACCUAAGCCGAGGCCGAAAGGCGUAGGUGAUGGACAACUGGUUGAUAUUCCAGUACCACUACCAUCGUUAUUAUCGAUGGCGUGACGCAGGAGGAUAGUGUGUGCUAGCUAUUGGAUGCUAGUCUAAGCGUUUAGGCAGUGAGAGUAGGCAAAUCCGCUCUCAUAAUGCUGAGGCGUGAUGGGGAAGGUUCUACGGAACCGAAGUACAUGAUUCCACGCUGCCAAGAAAAGCGUCUAGAGAGAGAAGUAGUGCCCGUACCGCAAACCGACACAGGUAGGUGAGGAGAGAAUCCUAAGGCCUGCGGAAGAAUUACAGUUAAGGAACUCGGCAAAUUGACCCCGUAAGUUCGCGAGAAGGGGUGCCUACGAGAGUAGGCCGCAGAGAAUAGGCCCAAGCAACUGUUUAGCAAAAACACAGGUCUCUGCUAAAGCGUAAGCUGAUGUAUAGGGGCUGACGCCUGCCCGGUGCUGGAAGGUUAAGGGGAACACUUAGCGCAAGCGAAGGUGUGAACUUAAGCCCCAGUAAACGGCGGCCGGAACUAUAACGGUCCUAAGGUAGCGAAAUUCCUUGUCAGGUAAGUUCUGACCCGCACGAAUGGCGUAAUGACUUGGGCACUGUCUCAACUGUAAAUCCGGCGAAGUUGUAGUGCGAGUGAAGAUGCUCGCUACCCGCGAUUGGACGGAAAGACCCCGUAGAGCUUUACUGUAGCUUAGCAUUGAGUUUUGGUAUUGUCUGUACAGGAUAGGUGGGAGACUAGGAAACCAGGGCGUCAGCCUUGGUGGAGUCAACCUUGGGAUACCACCCUGACAGUACUGAAAUUCUAACUGGCG
rnacentral:rRNA from 1 species